rfam:Triticum aestivum genome assembly, contig: Triticum_aestivum_CS42_TGACv1_scaffold_423578_5BS
CUUUUACUCCCUCCGUCCGAAAAUACAUGUCAUUGAAAUGGAUGUAUCUAGAUGUAUUUUAGUUCUAAACACGUCCAUUUUGAUGACAAGUAAUUCCGGACGAAGGGAGUACUUG